rnacentral:rRNA from 1 species
UACGGAGGGUGCGAGCGUUGUCCGGAAUCACUGGGCGUAAAGGGCGCGCAGGCGGCCGAGCACGUCCGUUGUGAAAUCGCCUGGCUCAACUGGGCGGGGUCAGCGGAUACGGCUAGGCUGGAGCAAGCUAGGGGGCAAUGGAAUUCCCGGUGUAGUGGUGGAAUGCGUAGAUAUCGGGAGGAACACCAGUGGCGAAGGCGGUUGCCUGGAGCUUUGCUGACGCUGAGGCGCGAAAGCGUGGGGAGCGAUCCGG